rnacentral:rRNA from 1 species
GUAGGGAAUAUUGGGCAAUGGUCGGAAGACUGACCCAGCCAUGCCGCGUGCAGGAAGACGGCCCUCUGGGUUGUAAACUGCUUUUAUCUGGGAAGAAAAAGGCCAUGCGUGGCAAAUUGCCGGUACCAGAUGAAUAAGCACCGGCUAACUCCGUGCCAGCAGCCGCGGUAAUACGGAGGGUGCGAGCGUUGUCCGGAUUUAUUGGGUUUAAAGGGUGCGUAGGCGGCUGAUUAAGUCAGCGGUGAAAGACUUCGGCUUAACCAGAGCAGUGCCGUUGAUACUGGUUGGCUUGAGUGUCGGAGGGGUACAUGGAAUUGAUGGUGUAGCGGUGAAAUGCAUAGAUACCAUCAGGAACACCGAUAGCGAAGGCAUUGUACUGGCCGACAACUGACGCUGAUGCACGAAAGUGUGGGGAUCGAACAGGAUUAGAAACCCGGGUAGUCC